AUCAUGAGUUCACAUGUCCGCAUGAUUAAAGGUAUUUUCCGGUAGACGAUGGGGAUGCGUUCCAUUAGAUAGUAGGCGGGGUAACGGCCCACCUAGUCAACGAUGGAUAGGGGUUCUGAGAGGAAGGUCCCCCACAUUGGAACUGAGACACGGUCCAAACUCCUACGGGAGGCAGCAGUGAGGAAUAUUGGUCAAUGGGCGAUGGCCUGAACCAGCCAAGUAGCGUGAAGGAUGACUGCCCUAUGGGUUGUAAACUUCUUUUAUAAAGGAAUAAAGUCGGGUAUGCAUACCCGUUUGCAUGUACUUUAUGAAUAAGGAUCGGCUAACUCCGUGCCAGCAGCCGCGGUAAUACGGAGGAUCCGAGCGUUAUCCGGAUUUAUUGGGUUUAAAGGGAGCGUAGAUGGAUGUUUAAGUCAGUUGUGAAAGUUUGCGGCUCAACCGUAAAAUUGCAGUUGAUACUGGAUGUCUUGAGUGCAGUUGAGGCAGGCGGAAUUCGUGGUGUAGCGGUGAAAUGCUUAGAUAUCACGAAGAACUCCGAUUG
rnacentral:rRNA from 2 species